UGCAGCUGAGUAAGAAAUCCUGACAGUAACACUGAUAUUCGGUGAACAUUAAUGAUUAAGAAUAUAGACUAUUAACGUUUUACGGAUGACGAUGGCUACAGGAGACCAUACAGUGUCACUGAAGGCGAUGCCAACCAAAGAACGUAAUG